ensembl:lncRNA
GCAAGUUUAUGCUUUUUGUACUUUUCCGUUGCUGAAAUGCGAUUUCUACUAUGUAUUCUGUUUAACCUCAUUGUCAACCAGGUUGUGUUUGAAUGGUUGGGUCAAAGGAGUACACCAUAUUGUGUGGAUAUUUAAAGAUUAAUACGGCAGUGGCCCAUGUAGUUAUGUAUCCAUCCAAGUGAAGGGGUUUUACUACUUAUCACUUGGGUUUUCAUUAUCUUUCUUAUCUAUUUAGUGUUCCAUCCAUACUUGUCUCUGAAGGCCAGGAGGGGUCGCUAGAUUUCGUUUCAGAUUGCUGUCUGUUAUCUUGUAGUUGCUGGCAUUUACUUUAUUUUAUAAUACACUCUUUUUUUUUCUCUUCUUCAAGAUAUAGUUACGCUGUGUAGCUUUGUAUUUCCUGGAACUCACUCUGUACACUAGGCUGGCCUCCUCACAGAUCUACACCUGUUUCUGCCUCCUGAGUGCUGUGGGUUUAAGGCAGUGAUACACCGCCUGGCUUGGCUACUUGUUUUUGUUUGUUUUUUUGAGGCAGGGUUUCUCUGCAGCUGUCCCGGAACUAGCUCUUGUAGACCAGGCUGGUCUCCAACUCACAGACAUCCACCUGCCUCUGCCUCCCGAGUGCUGGGAUUAAAGGCGUGCGCCACCAACGCCCGGCUCACCGAGCGGCUUUUUAAAAGAUUUAUUUAUUAUGGUAUACCCUGUUCCGCCCGCAUGUAUGUCUGCACACCAGAAGAGGGCACCAGAUCUCAAUAUAGAUAGUUGUGAGUCACCGUAUGGUUGCUGGGAAUCAAACACAUUACCUCUGGAAGACCAGCCCGUGCUCUUAGCCACUGAGCCAUCUCUCCAGCCUGGUUGCUACAUUUUUAUAUUAAUGUUUUCAUAACUUUUGUUCUUAUUUACCUGGUUGCUUGGAUUUCUGAGUUUGCCAUGAAUGUUCUCUUGGAAUGACCAAGUUUGGUCUUACACUCUGCACACAGAAGGGAUGUAAAGUAUAAUAUUUGCAGUGAAAUGUUCAUCUUGGUUUCCAGUUGCUGAAAAUGUUAUUUGGAACAAGUUUCUUUUGUGUGUAUUUACCCUGGAGUUACUUAUGUAGGCCAGGAUGAUCUUUCUAAUAUCUGCCUGCCUCUGCCCUCCUCCUCCUUGAGUUCUCCGAAUAAUAGUGGGCACCACCAUGGCAGGAAGUUUCUUACAACCACAAACAAUGAUGUUCCUAUUAGCUCAUUAUAAAAUGUGUCAUUUGUUUGUGGGGUUCAGGAUAAUGACUGCAUUUCUACCAUGACAUCUGACAUGGCUUAUAAAGUAAGAACUUACAGCUGGGUAUUUGGAGAACAAUGUCCCACUGGACUAGACAGAUGUCCUUGGCCUGAGUUGUUCAAUGAUAUUCAGUGACCUGGGUUCCCUAGAAUUAUCAUUGGUCUGAAAGACUUUUAGGCUUUUGUAAGGUAGAGGGGUGAGCAUGAAUCUCAACAGAAAACAAUUGUGCCUUUCCGUUAUGACUAAGGCUGGGAAACAUAGGGACCAAGGCAAAUGUGAGAGAAUACAGUGCUCAGGUGCACUAAAUUCUAACUUCCACAAGGUGGCACCCUACACCUGGUGUGCACAGCCUCAUUUCCACAGGACAAGCACAUGAUGAACUUUGGCCAGAAGAGGGCGCAGCAACACAACACUUCUGUUUCCUUGCAUAUAUCUUGAUCAUACGCUCCCAAUUCCCCGACCAAUAGCAUAGGAAGCUAUUGGAAAACUAAAUGAUACUGGUCUAAAAGGAAAAAAAGAGAGAGAAACAUAUUGAAAAAAAUGACUUCUAAUAUUAUUUUGAUAUACUCAUAAAUCAAUUCCUUAGCAGUUGGGGACAAAUUCAGACACAUAGCUAGACACUUGGAACACUCAGCCCUAAAAAUGGGAUAUUGCCAGGAAAUCCAUGCCCUCAGAGCUCAGGGAACCCCACAGGAGAGGAGUUGGAAAACAGUUUAUGAGGCUGAUAGAAUGGUAGACCCCCAAGGGGGGGGCAAAGAAAAAAGAAAAAAAGGCCCUCUAAAGAAACAUAAGCUCUGCAACAUUUGCACAGUGUCUCUGUUGAGGGCAAGCCAUUCCCUGCCAUAUGAGGAAUAUCCUGUCCAUGGAACCAUGUGAAUGGCUCAGGAACUUCCAGUUUGGGGAGAAUUUAGGAGUUUGGAUUAGAAAAUGAUCCUCUGUUGAGGCAAAGCCCUUGCCCAGCACGUGAGGACCCAGGAUUGGUCACAAUAACAGUAACAUACUCCUUCAAAGGUUCCUCCAAACUCCACAGGGAC